ACAAGGUGGCUGAUUAAAGCGGGGAACUGUAAAUUCUCUUAUAAAUUUUAUUUUCUUGUUAA
rnacentral:tRNA from 1 species